rnacentral:rRNA from 1 species
AUUGAACGCUGGCGGCAUGCCUUACACAUGCAAGUCGAACGGCAGCACGGGUGCUUGCACCUGGUGGCGAGUGGCGAACGGGUGAGUAAUACAUCGGAUCGUACCUUAUCGUGGGGGAUAACGCAGCGAAAGCUGUGCCAAUACCGCAUACGCCCUGACGGGGAAAGCGGGGGAUCGAAAGACCUCGCGCGAUUAGAGCGGCCGAUGCCUGAUUAGCUUGUUGGUGGGGUAAAAGCCCACCAAGGCGACGACCAGUAGCUGGUCUGAGAGGACGAUCAGCCACACUGGGACUGAGACACGGCCCAGACUCCUACGGGAGGCAGCAGUGGGGAAUUUUGGACAAUGGGGGCAACCCUGAUCCAGCAAUGCCGCGUGAGUGAAGAAGGCCUUCGGGUUGUAAAGCUCUUUUGUCAGGGAAGAAACACCGGCUCUAACACAGUCCGGGAAUGGCGGUACCUGAAGAAUAAGCACCGGCUAACUACGUGCCAGCCGCCGCCGUAA